UCUCCGCUUGAGAGUCGGCUUCCGAAAUAAGAUAGAGGAGAACUAGUUUUAUUUAGUUUAACUUACAGAGUGCGAAUGUCGAGCGGCGACUAGCAAGUGAGAUACUGCAGGAUAAAGCACGAAAACAGUUCAUUGCGCGCACACACACACACUUACAAAUUUAAAGAUUACUUGUUCGGUUGAACACAAAAAAGAGGCUCAAUUCGGUGGGUUUUUUAAGUGAUAUUUUAUACGGAAAAGCAAGUUCAGGUUAAUUAAACACAUGGGGAAAGUGGAGAAUAUUAUAGUGUAAAUUUAACACUAAGGUAUGAAAGGGUACCGGGUGAGGGUUUUUCGCGUUAAGAUUCUCCGUAAGAACCAACGUUGCGCAUCGGAGAUGUGAAAUUGGUGAUGGAAAAGUUUGCGACUAGCCGUUCCUUACAAUACAAUGUUAAGUAACCUAGUAUAUAUAACCUAAGUGUAAUACCAUAUAAGGACGGCAACAUUGCUUUACAACUUUUGGCAAUAUUGCUGUUCUAAUUAAACUAGUAGUCUGUCAACCAGUAGGAAACACCGUGGUUCAGUAAUAUAGUGUCUCUUCAUUAAGUAAAAGUAAGGUAAAAGGAUAAGUGAAUUUGGUAGGCUAAAAUAGACUUCAACUUUUUUUUAAAGGUUGAUACCAUCACUUUUCUAUGGGUGAUGCUAGAGAUUUAUUCUCAACACUAUUAGUUCACUCGAAUUCUGUGAAGUAUCCAAGAAAACGUACCAAAUCCAACUAUUCUUUGCAAGAUUGUGCAAAUUUCAGUGCAGCUGACACCAGUACGGAUUCAUUAAUAAAUUAAGCAUCAUCAUAAGAAAGUAUUGACAUUGGAGGUAACGUGCCAGCUGUGGUAUCUCCUACUACAGUUGAAAGAAGAUCGCUAAGAAAAUCGCUGCACCGUGGUAAAUGCUUAAAUUCAGUGGAGGGACAGGAAAAGAAGGUUGGUUUUAAAAAAUGACACUGGCUGUUAAAGAAAAAUCAAAACUGGUUGAGAUCCUUAAGAUAGUUUUGGAUAAAUCAGGAAAAAAGGUGGCAGCAUGAAAUUUCGUAAAAGAAUUUUAGCUGAACAAAAAAGGAGACACCAAUGGGGAAAUAUGCGGGGGUUGGUCAGUCGUUCAAAUAUUUUUAGUACGUUGCAUCAACCAUUGAUUACUUGAGAAAUGACGUCGUUAAACUUACCGAAAAUCAACUUGAAGCUAAAAUAAAACACCUAAAUCAUAUGGAACAAAUUGUAAUAAAAACUUUCAUUCAAAAAGGAAAAGCAGAGUUGCAGGCAAAGUGUGGCAGAAGGCAAUCAAUGCGUUACAACGGUGGCUUCAUCAUGCAAUAUUUGCUGCUAAAAUUAAAGAGCAGUACUACUUAUACCCAUUUAAGGAAGAAUAAUUUCCUUUCUCUGCCUAGGUCUUUGACAAUCCGUCAAAGACUUUGUUCUUCUAAUUGUAAAUUAUGCUCCAACGAUCUUUCGUUGGAAAACAUCAUGAAAGCAAUGGUAAAUUUGAUUGCUGCCGAUCGCUGGAGCUCCCUGAUAUGGGAUGAAAUAUUUUCACACCCAGGGUUUUUACUUAAUUAAUUACGUUUGUUGUGAGGUCACAGUAAGAGAAAUCAAUUAUUCUGCUUACUACUUUGACACAAGAGUCAGCAAAAAGCAAUAAAUAUUCACUGUUGGUCACUAAUUACAUUAUAUUUUCACCCAAAGAGUG